AUCGAACGCUGGCGGCAGGCCUAACACAUGCAAGUCGAGCGAGCGGAGGACGGGUGAGUAAUGCCUGGGAAACUGACUGACGGAGGGGGAUAACUCCUGGAAAAGGUAGCUAAUACCGCAUACCAUCAGAUGUGCCCAGUGGUGAUCAGCCAGUAGGUGGGGUAAUGGCUAACCUAGGCGACGAUCCCUAUCUGGUCUGAUAGGAUGACCAGCAACAUUGAACAUGAGGCAGGGUCCAGAGUCGUAGGGGAGGCAGCAGUGGUGAAUAUUGCACAAUGGGGGAAAGCCUGAUGCCACCAUGCCGCUUGUAUGAGGAGGGCCUGCGGGUUGUAGAGUUCUUACAGCGAGAAGGCGUUACUCGCAGAAGAAGCGCCGGCUAACUCCGUGCCAGCCGCCGCGGUAAUUC
rnacentral:rRNA from 1 species